rnacentral:rRNA from 1 species
UACAGAGGGGGCCAGCGUUAUUCGGAAUUAUUGGGCGUAAAGGGCGCGUAGGCGGCCAUGCGUGUCUUCCGUGAAAUCCCUCGGCUUAACUGAGGACGUGCGGAAGAAAACUGCAAGGCUCGAGUCCGGGAGAGGGGGGGUGGAAUUCCCAGUGUAGCGGUGAAAUGCGUAGAUAUUGGGGAGGAACACCGGUGGCGAAGGCGGCCCCCUGGACCGGUA